UACGGAGGAUGCAAGCGUUAUCCGGAAUGAUUGGGCGUAAAGGGUCCGCAGGUGGCAUUGUAAGUCUGCUGUUAAAGAGUCCAGCUCAACUGGAUAAAAGCAGUGGAAACUACAAAGCUAGAGUGUGGUCGGGGCAGAGGGAAUUCCUGGUGUAGCGGUGAAAUGCGUAGAUAUCAGGAAGAACACCGGUGGCGAAGGCGCUCUGCUAGGCCAAAACUGACACUGAGGGACGAAAGCUAGGGGAGCGAAUGGG
rnacentral:rRNA from 1 species